rnacentral:rRNA from 1 species
GAUGAACGCUGGCGGCGUGCUUAACACAUGCAAGUCGAACGAGAAGUGGAGACGGAAACCUUCGGGCGGAAGACUUUAUUUCGAGUGGCGGACGGGUGAGUAACGCGUGGGUAACCUGCCUCAUACAGGGGGAUAACAGUUGGAAACGACUGUUAAUACCGCAUAAGACCACAGCACCGCAUGGUGCGGGGGUAAAAACUCCGGUGGUAUGAGAUGGACCCGCGUUCGAUUAGCCAGUUGGCGGGGUAACGGCCCACCAAAGCGACGAUCGAUAGCCGAUCUGAGAGGAUGACCGGCCACAGUGGGACUGAGACACGGACCAAACUCCUACGGGAGGCAGCAGUGGGGAAUAUUGCACAAUGGGGGAAACCCUGAUGCAGCGACGCCGCGUGAGUGAAGAAGUAUUUCGGUAUGUAAAGCUCUAUCAGCAGGGAAGAAAAUGACGGUACCUGAGUAAGAAGCCCCGGCUAACUACGUG